rfam:Streptomyces varsoviensis strain NRRL B-3589 P027contig238.2, whole genome shotgun sequence.
CUUGAGCGAGCCCAGCCAGAGCGGUUCGCCCUCCCCGCGGUCCCGCCCGUACACGGCCUGCAGCGCCUUGAUCUC